GACGUAGGAGGCGAGCGUUAUCCGGAUUCACUGGGCGUAAAGCGCAUGUAGGCGGCUCGAUAAGUCGUGUGUUAAAGCCCCUGGCUCAACUGGGGGAGGUCAUGCGAGACUAUCGGACUUGAGGGCAGUAGAGGCACGUGGAACUCCCGGUGUAGCGGUGGAAUGCGUAGAGAUCGGGAAGAACACCCGUGGCGAAGGCGACGUGCUGGGCUGCAACUGACGCUGAGGCGCGAAAGCCAGGGGAGCGAACGGG
rnacentral:rRNA from 1 species